ensembl:lncRNA LINC01276 long intergenic non-protein coding RNA 1276
AGAUGAGUAAACUGAGGGUUAGAGCAGUAAUGUGACUUUCCUAAAGACAGACACAGCUAGCUAGUGGCCCAGCUGAGGCCACAGCCCCGUCACCAGACUUGAUUAGAUCUCUGUCAACCACAUCCCAGCAGCCAAAUGCUCCCUCCUUUUGCCCUCCUGCGGGGCCACGCAGCACACACCACAACCCCUUGGUCCACUGUGGUCUAGGCAAGAGCAGAAGAGUCCAAAAGCAGAUGACUAUCAUCUUCCAUUUGUCUUGAACUUUUUCCAGCAAGGGGGAGAGGAAGGACAAAAGGCUAUGCCUUGGGCUCCAAAGUUUAGGAGAGGAGCCAUGGAGAUGGACAGAGAGAGAUCCCAUUGUCUCUGGACACUGCUGGCCAAGGGCCUCCACCUCAGGAGCUGCUGCCUCUCAUCCACUUCCGGGGCGAGGGUAAUGGAAGCUCCCUACCGCCAAGCACCACGACCCUCCCCUGCCUUCUCCAGGCCUAAGGGUCAAGCUGCCAGGCCACCAGGCAGUGCCAGAUACUUACAGCAUGCCUACUGUGUGCAAAAUGCCAUGCUGAAGGCUGUCAGGGCUUGAAAGGUGAUGAUUCAGCAGAGGAUGCUGUUUGUGCCUCACCCCGUGUCCUCUAGCCCACUUCUCCACUCAUCUGCCACCGUGAUGGGAAGGUGUCAGCAAGCCCAGGAAUUGUCCACCCUAAGCAGCCUUUCUGCUUCUCACCUGCAGAGUUUCUCCAGUGCAGGGACCAAGAGAGCUUUACUCAGCCCACAGGACAGCUGGGAUUUAGCACUGCAGGGGCAACCCUCAAGUUAUUAAUAAGAGAUAAGAAUGGGUGGAUAAGCAACCUGGCUGCCUUGGAACUCCGUGGGACAAUUCCAUGGUGUGUUCUCACAGUUCCUCAGUGGGCCCCCAUUGCCCACAAUGAAACUCGAUCAUUAACCACUCUUCACUGGCUUUUCUCCUAACCCAUCCCUAUCUCACUUCCCCUUUCCCUCCCUCCAGCCUCCAGGGAUCACCUCCUCAGUAAACUACCUGCACCCAA